UCGAGGGCCAUACUACUCGUGCUCACGCAAUAACUAAUACAUAUUCUACCUAAUUUCGUCUAUAAUUGUUUUUUCAUGGCAUGCAAAAUUUCUAGACAAAGCAGUUAACGCGAAAAUUAAAACUGGAAUAAAAACUCACACGCACCGGUAUUUCAUGUGCAAGCUAUUGGUGGGUGUGGUUUCCUGGCAUCACGACAUUUCUGCUGAGGGCUUUGGAAUCAAAUAGCAAAAAUUUCCCACUAUAUAUAUACUAUCUGGAUGUCCGUAUAUCUUGUCCUUGCAAAUCCGUCAUUUAAGAUUUAUCUCUUCUUUGUGUUUACGGUCAUCGUUAAAGUGUAUAUGUCUCUCUUUAUGUCCAUUUGUGUAAACGCAUAUAGUGUGUGCUACCUAUAUAUAAAGGGUCAUGUUAAUAAUAUUAACAAUAAUUUAUAUAGUUCUUUAUGUUGAUGAAUGCAAAAUCACAAACUAUAAACACCAUAAAACACUUUAAUAUAGUAUAAACACGUUCUUGUCACACAGCAUAUACAUCUACUCACUAACUACCUAUAUAAUACAGGUCUACAAACAUCGAUUUGUUUAGGAUGUUGUUUCCAUUCUUUCUUCUGUGUAUUUGCAAGCUCGUGUUAUUAUGACCUGAACUUUUGGCUUCAGUAAUGAUCACAUGCAACAUCCGGUGACCAUGGACUGAUGAAGAGCAAGCAACAAGAUGUGCCUAUCCGCUCUCGCUCAAUGGAUACGGACUCUACACGACCCAAGAUGUCUGCAGCCUCCACUAACAAGAAAGCACCCAAAGGCCGCCAAGUUUCAGCCCGGUAUAUGUCUGACCCUGCUUCUGCAAGGAGACCACCCCCCUCUCAGAGUGGGCAAGGGAAGGCCACAGCCCUCAAAACAAAAAGCCUGUACAAAGCCCCUAAAACCAAAACAGCUUCCAGAGUAAGUGCAGUUGAUUUACACUGUUCAG